CUCUCUCUCUCUCUCUCUCUCUCUCUCUCUCUCUCUCUCUCUCUCUCUCUCAACACUUAGCUCUCUCUCUCGACUGCAUAUCCCUUACACUUAGCUCUCUCUCUCUCUCGAUCUGGCUUGUUGCUAUCGUGCUUUGCUGUUGCCGGUCCCGACUUUGCCACCGUUCGCGAUUUCUCUCUCUCGAUCUGCCACAGGUCGCGAUUUCUCUCCCCGUUCGGAUCCAUUUUGGUUCUGCCUUCCAGAGUUCCAGGCUCCAGCCACCGAGCCACCUCCCCUUUCAGUCUGCCUGAGCCACCUCCUCUGCCACCGAGUCACCUUCAAGGCUUCAAGUCUAUAUCUCUGAUCUCUGCGACUCCUUCAAGGCUUCAAUCCCUGAAUCUUAGUCAAUGUAUGAUGAUAAUGGGUGUGUAGCUUUGGUGGUGGGAGUACUAGGUAAUUGAACUUUCAAUCCAUCUCUGAAAUGGCUGUUGGUUGUAUAUUGGGAGCUAGUUAGGUGCCUGCUACUUUGAGAACAACAGAACACUGUCCUGUUUGCAGCGUCAACAACACCAUCAAUUCUCAUCUGGGUAUUUCUUUUUGUUAUUUUUUUUAACUACUCUUGUUUUUUUUACUGUCUCAUUAUAUCUUAUACAUGAGUCACUGUCUGUCAAAGAUUAAUGCAAUGCCUUUCUCAACAACAAUAGUGGAGUAGAUUGUGUACAUCUGCUGACAUUUUGGUUACAAAUCAUAUUAUUUUUGGUUGCUUGCUUUUGAUUAUU
rnacentral:lncRNA from 1 species